rnacentral:lncRNA from 1 species
GCUCUUUAAAAUUUGUAGAGCAUCUUCAGGUCAAAGGUAACAAGUUACAAAAUGAUUCGGAUACAAGGUGCUAUCAACUCAGUUUUCAUUAUCAUGAUGUUUCUUUUAAAGUUAUGUUAACGGGAUAUGGUGGAAUAGACGGACGAUGCAGCAAAGGUAAACAAAUCUAUGGGACUUAGGAGUUCUUGAG